rnacentral:rRNA from 1 species
UACGUAGGGGGCAAGCGUUGUCCGGAUUUAUUGGGCGUAAAGGGUGCGUAGGCGGGUCUUUAAGUCAGGGGUGAAAUCCUGGAGCUCAACUCCAGAACUGCCUUUGAUACUGAAGAUCUUGAGUCCGGGAAAGGUGAGUGGAACUGCGAGUGUAGAGGUGAAAUUCGUAGAUAUUCGCAAGAACACCAGUGGCGAAGGCGGCUCACUGGCCCGGUACUGACGCUGAGGCACGAAAGCGUGGGGAGCAAACAGG